CGCUAGCUACAGGCUUAACACAUGCAAGUCGAGGGGCAGCAUUUCAGUUUGCUUGCAAACUGGAGAUGGCGACCGGCGCACGGGUGAGUAACACGUAUCCAACCUGCCGAUAACUCGGGGAUAGCCUUUCGAAAGAAAGAUUAAUACCCGAUGGUAUAAUCAGACCGCAUGGUCUUGUUAUUAAAGAAUUUCGGUUAUCGAUGGGGAUGCGUUCCAUUAGGCAGUUGGUGAGGUAACGGCUCACCAAACCUUCGAUGGAUAGGGGUUCUGAGAGGAAGGUCCCCCACAUUGGAACUGAGACACGGUCCAAACUCCUACGGGAGGCAGCAGUGAGGAAUAUUGGUCAAUGGGCGCAGGCCUGAACCAGCCAAGUAGCGUGAAGGAUGACUGCCCUAUGGGUUGUAAACUUCUUUUAUAUGGGAAUAAAGUUUUCCACGUGUGGAAUUUUGUAUGUACCAUAUGAAUAAGGAUCGGCUAACUCCGUGCCAGCAGCCGCGGUAAUACGGAGGAUCCGAGCGUUAUCCGGAUUUAUUGGGUUUAAAGGGAGCGUAGGUGGACAGUUAAGUCAGUUGUGAAAGUUUGCGGCUCAACCGUAAAAUUGCAGUUGAUACUGGCUGUCUUGAGUACAGUAGAGGUGGGCGGAAUUCGUGGUGUAGCGGUGAAAUGCUUAGAUAUCACGAAGAACUCCGAUUGCGAAGGCAGCUCACUGGACUGCAACUGACACUGAUGCUCGAAAGUGUGGGUAUCAAACAGGAUUAGAUACCCUGGUAGUCCACACAGUAAACGAUGAAUACUCGCUGUUUGCGAUAUACAGUAAGCGGCCAAGCGAAAGCAUUAAGUAUUCCACCUGGGGAGUACGCCGGCAACGGUGAAACUCAAAGGAAUUGACGGGGGCCCGCACAAGCGGAGGAACAUGUGGUUUAAUUCGAUGAUACGCGAGGAACCUUACCCGGGCUUAAAUUGCAUUUGAAUAAUCUGGAAACAGGUUAGCCGCAAGGCAAAUGUGAAGGUGCUGCAUGGUUGUCGUCAGCUCGUGCCGUGAGGUGUCGGCUUAAGUGCCAUAACGAGCGCAACCCUUAUCUUUAGUUACUAACAGGUCAUGCUGAGGACUCUAGAGAGACUGCCGUCGUAAGAUGUGAGGAAGGUGGGGAUGACGUCAAAUCAGCACGGCCCUUACGUCCGGGGCUACACACGUGUUACAAUGGGGGGUACAGAAGGCAGCUACCUGGUGACAGGAUGCUAAUCCCAAAAGCCUCUCUCAGUUCGGAUCGAAGUCUGCAACCCGACUUCGUGAAGCUGGAUUCGCUAGUAAUAAGGCAUCAGCCAUGGCGCGGUGAAUACGUUCCCGGGCCUUGUACACGCCGCCCGUCAAGCCAUGAAAGCCGGGGGUAAAGGAAGUACGUAACCGCAAGGAGCGUCCUAGGG
rnacentral:rRNA from 1 species